rnacentral:rRNA from 1 species
UGGGGGAUAUUGCACAAUGGGCGAAAGCCUGAUGCAGCGACGCCGCGUGGGGGAUGAAGGCUUUCGGGUUGUAAACCUCUUCCGCUAUCGAACAAGGCCCGCUUAGGGUGGGUUGAGGGUAGGUGGAGAAGAAGCGCCGGCUAACUACGUGCCAGCAGCCGCGGUAAUACGUAGGGCGCGAGCGUUGUCCGGAAUUAUUGGGCGUAAAGGGCUUGUAGGCGGCUUGUUGCGCCUGCUGUGAAAACGCGGGGCUUAACUUCGCGCGUGCAGUGGGUACGGGCAGGCUUGAGUGGGGUAGGGGUGACUGGAAUUCCAGGUGUCGCGGUGGAAUGCGCAGAUAUCUGGAGGAACACCGAUGGCGAAGGCAGGUCACUGGGCCAUUACUGACGCUGAGGAGCGAAAGCAUGGGUAGCGAACAGG